rnacentral:rRNA from 1 species
UACGAAGGGGGCGAGCGUUGUUCGGAUUUACUGGGCGUAAAGGGCGCGCAGGCGGUUCUGUUUGUCGAGUGUGAAAGCCCCGGGCUCAACCUGGGAACUGCGCUCGAAACGGCGGAACUAGAGUUCGGGAGAGGAGAGUGGAAUUCCCGGUGUAGAGGUGAAAUUCGUAGAUAUCGGGAGGAACACCAGUGGCGAAGGCGGCGAUCUGGGAAGAUACUGACGCUGAGGUGCGAAAGCGUGGGGAGCAAACAGG